AAAAACGUUGCCUGGCUCAGGGCCACUGAGUGGUUUCUGUAGAGAUCCCACUUGAAACAUACCCACAUCAACUGGUCUUUGACAGUUGUUUCUCAUUGUCUGGGAUCUAUUAUCUCCCCAGGAUCGAAGCUCAGCAGGCCUGUCAAUAUCCAAACAAUUCAACUUUCCCUUAAAUACCAGCUUUUUUUCUCCUGCUGUAAUUUUGCCUGUACUCCACGAUCUCUGCAAAAACAGCAUUAGCAGUCCAGAAAAAACAGGAUCCUUUGCCAGCGGAGGGACUGGGGCUUUCAGAGGCUUUGGUUGCAGUAGCCUACAAAGGU